CAGAGGUGGCAAGCGUUGUUCGGAAUUACUGGGCGUAAAGGGCGCGUAGGCGGCCUUCUAAGUCAGACGUGAAAUCCCCAGGCUUAACUUGGGAACUGCGUCUGAUACUGGAGGGCUCGAGUGCGGGAGAGGGAUGUGGAAUUCCAGGUGUAGCGGUGAAAUGCGUAGAUAUCUGGAGGAACACCGGUGGCGAAGGCGGCAUCCUGGACCGACACUGACGCUGAGGCGCGAAAGCUAGGGGAGCAAAACGGGAUUAGAUACCCCGGUAGUCCUAGCCCUAAACGAUGAGUGCUUGGUGUGGCGGGUAUCGAUCCCCGCCGUGCCGAAGCUAACGCAUUAAGCACUCCGCCUGGGGAUACGGUCGCAAGGCUG
rnacentral:rRNA from 1 species